rnacentral:lncRNA from 1 species
AAGAAAGUUGUUGUAAUCUCUCUCAUUCGGGGUUUGAAAAAAAUUCUUGAAAUUUCAAUUGUCUAUUUGAGUUAUAUAUAUGGUAGAUCUAGAAAUUUCUGGUCUUUUACUUCUCCAAAAAAACAAAAAAACCCCAAAUCCAGCAAAAACUUAAAAACCAAAAGCUCCAUAACUCUGUCUUCUUCCUCUUCCAAGUUCACUCGUAUCAUCAUGAAACACCAUGCAAAGAAAAACCUAAAUUCUCAUCUGGGUCUUUAAUCUCUAAAUUCUUCCAACUUUUAAUCUCUCUACCACUGAUCAAGUUUGGUGUUGAGGGGAGAGAUUGGUAAAGUGGCUGUGGCGAUGGAGCGACGGUGGUAGUAUUUGAGAGAGCAACAUCAAUUAAAAAUUAAAUUGUAAUUGGCUUUUCAAAUCAGAGAAUUUUUUUGCUUUUUAAAUGUGGGAAUUUUUUUCUCUCUUUCUUUUUCUCUUUUUCAAUUUGAGUUUUCUUUGUCAUUUGAGGGAGAUUUGAUAGUAUGGAUAAGAUUUGGAUUUUGAUAAUUUUGAAAGAUGAAGAUGAAGGAGUUUAGGAUGAAUUUCUUUUUGGGUUCUAAAUGUUGAUAUUUGAGUAUUUUUUUUGGACAUUAAUAAUGACUUGAAUAGAAAUUGAUUGAGAAAAAAUAUAAAUAAAGAUUUUGUUAGUAUUAUUAUAAGAGUUUAUAUUUGAUUACCGUCGAU